rnacentral:rRNA from 1 species
UACAGAGGUCUCAAGCGUUGUUCGGAUUCAUUGGGCGUAAAGGGUGCGUAGGUGGCGGGGCAAGUCUGGUGUGAAAUCCCGGGGCUCAACCCUGGAACUGCACUGGAUACUGCUUUGCUAGAGUACUGGAGAGGAACUGGAAUUUACGGUGUAGCAGUGAAAUGCGUAGAUAUCGUAAGGAAGACCAGUGGCGAAGGCGAGUUCCUGGACAGUUACUGACACUGAGGCACGAAGGCCAGGGGAGCAAACGGG